UCGGAAGGUUCCGACCUCAGUAAAGAGAGCUAACGUGUAUUCUUCUUUUUCUUAGCGUGUUGCUUUGUCGCCCACGCUGGUUGCAGUGGUGCGAUCUCAGUUCACUGCAACCUUCGCCUCCCAGGUUCAAGCGAUUAUCCUGCCUCAGCUUCCCGAGCAGCUAGGACUACAGGAUCUCAGCUAAACGGGAAGCAUUUUUGAAAAGUGAUUGCACAAUUGAGAGUGAAAAUUACUGAGUCCUGAACAGGCAACUUACAUUCUAAUACCAGCUCUGUCUCCAUCCAGCCGACUGAAUAGUCGUGAUUAAGUUACUUGACUUCCUUGGAUAUCUAGAUCCUUAAAGUUAAAGAAUUAUACAAGAUAAUAAUAUUUUCUUCAAACUUUAGAAAAUGACUUUAUGAACCGCCUUAAGUUUGUAUGUUUUCAUAGCUUUCAAGAGCUUGUUUACACACUCAAUUCUAGAUUCUAGAUACUUUCUAGAAAAUAACUGACUUAACUCAUUCAAUUGAUAUAUUUGUUAGUUGUACUCCUACUCAUAUGCUUCAGUUAAUUAUAUAUGUUGAACAGGUAGGAAGCAGUG
rnacentral:lncRNA from 1 species